AGAAUCAACGCUGGCGGCGCGCUUAACACAUGCAAGUCGCACGAGAAAGGGAGCAAUCCUAAGUAAAGUGGCGCACGGGUGAGUAACACGUGGAUCAUCUACCUUUUAGUGGGGAAUACCUCUGGGAAACCGGAGACAAUACCGCAUAAGCCUGUAAAGGGAAAGCAGCAAUGCGCUGAAAGAGGAGUCCGCGGCCGAUUAGCUAGUUGGCGGGGUAAUGGCCCACCAAGGCGAAGAUCGGUA
rnacentral:rRNA from 1 species